CCAACACAUCUUCAACCUGACAUAAUUAAUACGAAAAUUAAUUAUUCGGAGGCCUAAACGAAGGAAGAUGUGUCGAAUUAUUAAUUAUUCGUUUAGGCCUCCGAAUUAUUAAUUUUCGAAUUAAUUAUGUCAGGUUGAAGAUGUGUCGG
rnacentral:miRNA from 1 species